GCAGCCUGGCACACAAUGGGAGGUGUCCUUGCCAUGGCAGGGGUGGAUUGGGAUGGGUUUGAGCUCCUUCCAUCCCAACCCAGUCUGGGAUUCUGGAAUUCCUCUCCAGGCAAAGCUGUGGUGGGAGGAGGGGGCAUUUCCCUGUUCCGUCACUGCCACAGUUCCCGUGCCUGGCAGCUGAGGGUGCCCAGCCUGUGCCAAGCCAAUCUCUUCUACCAGGUUUUGAUUGUGUUGGGAUUAUUUUUUAGGAUUAUUUUCUCACUCUCCAGCUCCUGGUUUUUGACUGGAGCCUUUUCCAGCAGCUGGGAUCUCCGAGCAGCAUCUCCUGUUCCUGCCAGGGCAGCCCAGUGCUGUCCUCACGUUGUUUCCUGGUGUCUUCUGAUGCCAUUUUUCCUACUUUCAUCUCACAUUUUGACCUCUGGAAAAUAUCACCUAGCCAGGUGUUAACCUAAUCCCUCAGUUCCCAUGCAAGGCAGGAACUCCUGUAAAAUAAAAAAGGCUUUAUUUUAUUCCAAAUAAAACAAUAGCUGUGCUUACAAACCAUUCUGGACAGACUCUUUAGGUAGUGCUUUGCACUGGGUUCUUCCCUUCCUUCCCUCUGUUCAGUGCUCAACUCCUCAGCUCCUAUGAAAAUAUAAAACCACCUCCUUUUUUAAAAUUUUAUUUUAAUAGGCAACAUCUUUUUCCCAGAGUCCCUGGGUUGUGGUAGCACCAUAUUGUGCAGGGGUUUAUGUUACAUGAACAACCAUUUCACUUGGUCAUAGCCAAUUUGAGUUCCAGGCAGAUUUUACUGGCCUUUCACUUAAUAGCUAAAUCAUCUGGAAAACAGAUUGGGGUUUUUACGUGUUUGGGGCUUUUUUUCUGAGGUGAAACCAGUCUGAAAAUCACCUUUCAGUGCUCUUCAGUGUGCAGGGCUGGGAUGAUGUCCCACCUCAGCGUGGGAUACAUCAGGAACAGUUUGAUAGUUUUAUUUAAAAUUCAAUGGAAUCAGGGCAGUGCUUUGGGUUUGGCUUGCAAUAGCUGAUUAAAUGCCACAAAUGGGUAUUUUUUUUACCUUCACAGGAGAGCUUCCCUUUCCUUAAAACAGCAUUCCAGCCUGAAAUGGGAUGUUUUCAAAUCCCAUACAUCAAAUCCUCAAAAAUCCCUUUUAACCAUCAAGCAAUUCCUGAUAACUUCUGAACCAGGACGCCAGGAAAAACCUCAAAUGAGAUUGAAUAAACUCUAUUAUCCCAGUAUUUGUGCAUAAGAUGAAUGGAAUAAUGGGAAAAGCAGAGCUUUGUUCAGGGAUCCCAUUUCUUCCUAGGAAAUGAGUUGGGAGUGGGAUGGAGACAGUGCUUCCAGCAGGAGAAUUGAUGCUAAUUGACAGCUAAUGGAUCAGCAGUUCUCCAAACAAAACUGGGGAGCAGGCAGCCUCCCAUUCUGCUGGAAUUGGAUCAUUUGGAGUAGAAAAUCCAGGGAGAAACAAAGCACGAGCCCAUUCAAGUAUAGUAUUUAUGUAUUUAUAUAUAGUAUUUAGCACUGGAGUGCUAAAAAUUCAGGGGUUGUGUAGGAUUUGGUGAUUUGGCAGGUCCAUGUGGGAUGGUCAGAAAUGCUGCUGC